CUUUUUGUGUUUCACAGUGAAAAGAAAGUCACACUGGUUUGGAAACAACAUGAGGUGGCCUGUACAGAUGUAAGGGAAAACACAGGGUUAUGAAGAAAGCGUAGGAGGAACAAUGGCUCGAAAAAGGACACCCAUGCUCCUCUGCUCGACUUGGGAGGGGAAGUCAAUUUGUCCUCCUGCACUGCUUUGGCAAGAAAAAGCCAUCUGAAGGCAUGAAUGUAAAUAGAGCAUAGGUCUGUGGUUUAUUGGAGAGAGAACCUACGCAAUAAAAAACAAAGGGCCUACGUGUUACAGCAAAAGCCUACGCUAAAGGGAAAUCUCACACUUUUAUGCAGUGGUGUUUAUUUGUGUUGCCAUUGUGGGCCGCUCUCUAUUGCCGCACCACUGAACUACAGUCCUGAGAGGAAGUUUCCAGUGCGGUCAUCAUGACGAGGGUCUUGGAGUCCAGGAAGUUCAUGCAGGAAGUUUUAAACACUUUUUCAUAUAUGUUCUAUUAUAUAUUUUGGAGUGUUUUGGGGGUUUAAUUUUGCAAUAAUAACUAUAUUUAUUUUCUUAUACUUAGGGUAUUAUUAGCAAGACAAGUAUUGAAAUUUGGUG